GGCGAACGCUGGCGGCAGGCCUAACACAUGCAAGUCGAACGCCCCGCAAGGGGAGUGGCAGACGGGUGAGUAACGCGUGGGAACAUACCCUUCGGUUCGGAAUAACUCAGGGAAACUUGGGCUAAUACCGGAUACGUCCGUGAGGAGAAAGAUUUAUCGCCGAAGGAUUGGCCCGCGUAAGAUUAGCUAGUUGGUGAGGUAACGGCUCACCAAAGCUAUGAUCUUUAGCUGGUCUGAGAGGACGAUCAGCCACACUGGGACUGAGACACGGCCCAGACUCCUACGGGAGGCAGCAGUGGGGAAUAUUGGACAAUGGGCGCAAGCCUGAUCCAGCCAUGCCGCGUGAGUGAUGAAGGCCUUAGGGUUGUAAAGCUCUUUCGGCGGGGACGAUAAUGACGGUACCCGCAGAAGAAGCCCCGGCUAACUUCGUGCCAGCAGCCGCGGUAA
rnacentral:rRNA from 1 species